GUGAAUCAUCAAAUUUUUGAACGCAAAUUGCACUCUCCUCUGAGAGUAGGCCUGUUUGAGGUUCAGCCUAUAAAAAAUCGACAUCGUUGCUGUUGCGCUGUGACGUGCGUCGGAAAUCGGGUCAUCUUAAAUCCUGUUGGUUUUUAGCGACUUAAAAUUUUCUUUUUGAUUCUAUGUACAUGUUCCUAAGGUUGAUUUCUUUACACGUUUAAGGUAUCGAUUUUUAUUAGACGUGGCAGUCAUAUCGGAUCGCGUCCAUAAUGUUUCGCUAACUGACCUCAGA
rnacentral:misc_RNA from 1 species